ACUCAAAUGAAUUGACGGGGGCCCGCACAAGCGGAGGAACAUGUGGUUUAAUUCGAUGAUACGCGAGGAACCUUACCCGGGAUUGAAAUGGAGUGGAAUAACCGUGAGAGCGGUUAGUCAGCUAUGACCACUUUGUAGGUGCUGCAUGGUUGUCGUCAGCUCGUGCCGUGAGGUGUCGGCUUAAGUGCCAUAACGAGCGCAACCCUGACUGUCAGUUGCUAACAGAUAAUGCUGAGGACUCUGGCGGGACUGCCGGCGUAAGCUGUGAGGAAGGUUGGGAUGACGUCAAAUCAGCACGGCCCUUACAUCCGGGGCGACACACGUGUUACAAUGGGGGGGACAAAGGGCAGCUACCGGGCGACCGGAUGCCAAUCUCCAAACCCUCUCUCAGUUCGGAUCGGAGUCUGCAACCCGACUCCGUGAAGCUGGAUUCGCUAGUAAUCGCGCAUCAGCCAUGGCGCGGUGAAUACGUUCCCGGGCCUUGUACACACCGCCCGU
rnacentral:rRNA from 1 species